ACCCGCUGAACUUAAGCAUAUCAAUAAGCGGAGGAAAAGAAACCAACCGGGAUUGCCCUAGUAACGGCGAGUGAAGCGGCAACAGCUCAAAUUUGAAAUCGGGCAUUUAUGCUUGAGUUGUAAUUUGCAGAGGGAGCUUUGGUUCUGGCAGCGGUCUAAGUUCCUUGGAACAGGACGUCACAGAGGGUGAGAAUCCCGUACGUGGGCGCUGGCCUUUACCGUGUAAAGCCCCUUCGAUGAGUCGAGUUGUUUGGGAAUGCAGCUCUAAAUGGGAGGUAAAUUUCUUCUAAAGCUAAAUACUGGCCAGAGACCGAUAGCGCACAAGUAGAGUGAUCGAAAGAUGAAAAGUACUUUGGAAAGAGAGUCAAAUAGCACGUGAAAUUGUUGAAAGGGAAGCGCUUGCAGCCAGACUUGCCCGUAGUUGCUUAUCCAGGCUUUUGCCUGGUGCACUCUUCUGCGGGCAGGCCAGCAUCAGUUUGGGCGGUUGGAUAAAGGUCUCUGUCAUGUACCUCUUUUCGGAGAGGCCUUAUAGGGGAGACGACAUGCAACCAGCCCAGACUGAGGUCCGCGCAUUUGCUAGGAUGCUGGCGUAAUGGUGGU
rnacentral:rRNA from 1 species